rnacentral:rRNA from 1 species
GACGUAGGGCGCGAGCGUUGUCCGGAUUUAUUGGGCGUAAAGAGCUCGUAGGCGGUUUGGUAAGUUGGAUGUGAAAUCUCCAGGCUCAACUUGGAGGGGUCAUUCGAUACUGCCAUGACUAGAGUUCGGAAGAGGCGAGUGGAAUUCCCGGUGUAGCGGUGAAAUGCGCAGAUAUCGGGAGGAACACCUAUGGCGAAGGCAGCUCGCUGGGACGUUACUGACGCUGAGACGCGAAAGCGUGGGGAGCAAACAGG